rnacentral:rRNA from 1 species
AUGAUGAGCUGCAAGGAGAGUAUCGAUCCGUGGGAGGUCAAUUCUGACCAAUCAUAUCGAAGGACACGGAUCACGGUCGAUGGUCCACGAGGCCGAAAACUCUCCCGCGCCCCCGUGAUUUUGGUGAAAGUUCUCGCGCUCAAAACACCCGAAAACAUCCGAAAGGUCCACGGGCGCGCAUUUCAUUCAAAGGGAAAUCAAAAUGAGAAGAGAUCCACCGCACCAACCCCAAAACCCAAACCAACCCAAGCGCUCCCUCGCCCGCACGCUGUCUUUCUUCCUCCUCUCCCCACGACUCACCCAACUCGCCGCCGGCGACCUCCUGCCCUCAGCCUCCGCCCCCUACCACACCGACGGCGCCCCCCACCCUCUCCUUCUUCCCCAAGCCGCCGCGUCAAGCCUCUCCUCGCGCCCGAAACCCUAGCCCGCGGCGCGGCCAUGGCGACCGAGCUCUGGAUCCGCAGGCUCGAGGUGCGGCGCUGGGUCAGGAUGCGCCGGCCACGAGGCCAGAAGGCUGUCGGUUCCGAGAACUGGGCGGCGCACCCUGCAGCUCGGUCGACCUCCAAUGGAGAAGGCCCCGGAUCUGUACUCCCCUUCUUCCGCGACCAGCCUCGACGCCCGCCUUCUUCCCAGGAGCGGCGGCCACGACGGCCCGUCGCUCUCGUCUUCUCCCGCCGCUGCGGAGGACGAGCCACGACGAGCAGCAGAGGAGGCGUGCCGCUGCUACCACGACGCGACGUCCCAUGCUCUUGUCCUCUCCCGACGCGGCAGAGGACGAGAUGCGGCGAGCUGCAGAGGAGGCGUGUCGUGUGGCUGGACCAAGCUGCAGCUGCAGGCGCCGUACGACCACGACCAGAAGCACCAUCAUCUCUGGCAUCGGGCGCGCUACGAGGACGGCCCGUCUCUGCUUCAUGUCACGCCCUGCUCGUGUCCAUGGCGGGUGCGUGCGCGGUGGCCGCGCCAUCCCGGGCAACAGUCUCCGGCCGCGGCGCAGCCUUGCCGCCGGGGCGCGGCUUCCGCGUGAGCUGCCGGCGCUCGGCGAGGAGACGCGUCGGCGGUCGCGCUCGCGUGUCCCGCGACACCAACGGUGCUGAGGCUGAGCCGGACAGCAAGGGUCCAAUCCCGCAGGUCAGUGCUCCUCCUCCCCAUACUGGAUACUGCUGUAACAAAUGUGUUCUGCUCAGAAUCUUCAGGUUCGGCAGCCAUUCCGCCCUGGAAUACUGGUUCACCUUUAAGCUUCAGCCGAAAUUUUCUUGGUUUCUGAAUCGAGCUCCCUUUGGUUCACGUGUGUUGUUCAACCAGGAUGACUCGGGCUACCUCCUGACGCUGGGGCUCGGGUCCGGCGGCGGCGCGGCGACCGUGAAGUAUGACAGCAUGCUCCAACCAGUCAUCUCCGGCGUGCUCACGCAUCUGCACGACCAGAAGCACAAUCAUGUUUUACUUCGAUACAAGGCUCAAAUUCGAAUUACACUCAGCUUCUCGCUGUUCUUGGGAAAGAAGGAAGGUAGGUGGGGAAAGCAGAGGAGGGGAGAGCCGCCGUUCGUUUUGAUCCUUCUGGAUGUGUCUUCUUUUGCGCGUGAGGGGAUAAGUAGGCGCCGGUGCGACAUGGACUCAGCGGUCCCAUUCCGGCCCGAUGAAUCUCCUGUUGGGCUGCGCUAUCCUCUUGGGCCUGCUGCUGAUUCGCCUUGCCGCCAGGCCGUCGUUGGUGACAUGGCUCGCUGCCGUGGCAGCCCCCUGGGUCUUGGCUGUCAAGGCAGGUCAUGCGCUGACAACUUGCUCUGGAGUUUGCUUUGA